CAGAACGAACGCUGGCGGCAAGCUUAACACAUGCAAGUCGAACGGAUUGUUAUCAUAGCUUGCUAUGAUAACAAUUAGUGGCAGACGGGUGAGUAAUGCAUAGGAAUCUACCUAGUAGUAUGGGAUAGCCACUAGAAAUGGUGGGUAAUACUGUAUAAUCCCUGCGGGGGAAAGAUUUAUCGCUAUUAGAUGAGCCUAUGUUAGAUUAGCUAGUUGGUAGGGUAAAGGCCUACCAAGGCAGUGAUCUAUAGCUGGUCUGAGAGGAUGAUCAGCCACACUGGAACUGAGAUACGGUCCAGRCUCCUACGGGAGGCAGCAGUGGGGAAUAUUGGACARAUGGGCGCAAGCYUGAUCCAGCUAUGCCGCG
rnacentral:rRNA from 1 species